GAAAACUGACAGUUAGUUUUCCGCUUGUCUUUACACGCAUUGUUAUUGUGUGAGUGUGCGAAUCAUGACUACAAUGUUUACAAUCCAAGAGCUGUACAGUAAACUAAAUAAGAUUCGGUGCUUUCAAAUAAAAUUGGAUCGAAAAUUGAAAAAGUUUCGUAAUUUGCAUUACAUACAGUGCAUCACGGUGCCGCAUCGUACCAGCAGGUCGAUAAAUGUUGUGAAUGAAGGAACGGCGGUAUAUUAGGAAUGGUUGUUUGAGCAGCACGAUGGUAGCGAAGCGGUGAGCCAACCCCACUUUGUUGGGCGGUGGAAGUAAAUGUAGUAGCCACUGAUAACCGACGAGAAUAUUUUGGUGUUGAUGAAGUGUACCUCUGUUUGGAAGGUCUAUUCGACGAACAAUUCAUAUCGCCGGUGAUUAGCUACGAGGUAAGCGGCAUAGGUGUGCUUCUUCAUGCCGAAUGAUUAAAAAUCCCUUCGCCACUGGGACACCGUGUGACGGAACCGUUCAAAACUAGCUUGAAGCUGCGCUAGCUUGUGAAGUCUCUCCCGUCGAAGGUGUGCGCAAGCUACUUUGUACCCCGGCUGCUGGUGAUCUAGGAACGGUAGCCCAGGAUUUGAGGAGUCAAGUCAUAGACACCAUUAACAAUAUAUCGUUGCCAAAUGCGGAAUCGUACACGGACGCAACGCCUUUUGGAUCAAUGCUUUUGGAUUUGUUACUCGUGCUGUUAGAUGUGUUCCUCGUUUUUACAUAUUCCCUUACGAAAUCUUAUAAACUAUACCGGCUUCCGUUCGAAGAAAGAGGACUACAUUUAAAUUCUGCCAACGAUGGAUCGCUUUGGACAGAUUGACUAAUUUGCCGUGAAAUCUCACAUCGCCUCCUAGUUUAAAAGUGUACCAACAUACACACAUCGAUAUCGUUAAUCGGCAUUUGAAACCUUCCAAAGGCACCCACGAUAUCCAACCAACCGUCCAUAUCGUGGGUAGUGUGGGAUUCAUUGAUCGUAAUCUAUCUGUAUUACAGAUACAGAUGUAAACAGUUAGCUUACGAUCUAUGCGACCUCACUAAAACACUCCGCGUACCUGUUACCUUCCUCUUGCAGAUUUGUGUGAGCGUCAUAUUUGAUCGUUAGGACGUCCUUCGCGCUGAUCUCGUACCUGUGAAAACAGUUUGAAAAAAGAAAAAAAAAAGAAAAAGAAAAAAGAAAAGGAAAAGAAAAAAAGAAAAGAAAAAAGAAAAAAGAGAGUUCCAUUCCGGGUUCACUGUAGCUUUGUCGAGGUUUCGUCUCCUGGCACGUCUUUUCCGAUGUCCAUGUUUGUACUACUACGUUCCUUCCUUCGUCGGUUUAUACUUCUCAUUGGGCUUUCAUCAGUGUGCGGCCAGAUGAGAAAGAUGUUUGCGUUCAAUGUUUAAUGUCUUGAUGUGCACGUUUUAUGUAUCAUUAGCGUCUAAUUAUUCUUUCGACGUCAAGGCAUCCUAGUUAUCUAGAAUGCCCUCCCCCUUCCUGCUUUGCCAUGCAUCAUCAUCCGCCCAAGGGGUUGGGACUGGGCCCGUGUACCCAAGCUUGGAUAUUUGAUGACACAUGUUACCACUCGGCACGUAAAGGACGUGUCAGGAUAGGAGUUGGAUAGGAGAGCCUGUGUUAGCCUUCUUAGAGGCUUCGGAACCUACCCCGUUGCCAAGAAUUUGCUGUUCUGGUGCAAUUAGUUGAUCAUCUUUCUCAUCUUUUUCCGCGCUUUUGGAUCUUGCUGUUGUGUUUUGCGUUUGCGACUAGUGCCCUCUUUGGCUUCAUUGUUAGCUUUCAUAUUCAGAAAUCGCAUACGAACUAUCACUCUCUGUUUUGCGAAUGAUUUUAUGACCUCUGCUGGUAAAUCGACUUGUUUCUGAAUAUUCACCUUUAAUCUUCGAACGAUUGCAGUUUUUUUAUGGAAAGUACCAUUUUUGUGCAAUUUCUGGAAUAUUUUUUCCAUCUUUUUGCCAGUGUUUAAAAAUUCGUCGCUUGGUUUGUAAAGUCCUCCCAGAGAUAGAUGCUCCACAAAUGUCGGUGGUUGACAAUAAUUGUGUUCGGAUAUUAUUUUAAAGGUUUGCAUUCCCAAGUUCAAUGCCGGAUAUUUUGCGUUAAAUUUUUUUGCGAGGUAUCCCAUUAUGUACUCUAAUCCAUCUGCCUCUUGUUCGUUCAUAGAAGAGAGAUUACUACUCACACUGCUCACUAAAUCACUGUCGUCAUUGGUCACUAAUCCAUUGACCCUUUCCAUAGCGUUGAUAUCUGGGAGACUAGGAUUGAUUCCAGCUUCGGAAAACAUCGUUGCUGCUAGAAAUUCUUCGCUUUGUACAGAUUCAUAUGUGUCUUCGCCAUUCGUUUCCGCCGUUGUCAGGUAUUCAUCCUGUUGCUGAUUUUUUUUUUCUUCGGUAUCUGUCUGAUUAUGUAAAAUACUUGGAGAUUUGCCGAGUAUCAUAAUUCUUAUUCUGUAUAGACAACUCAGCGGCGAAGGGUGAUCAUAAACCCCUCCUUUUUGUCUAAUCUGCGAGAAAAAGUUUUCUAGCACAUCUUGAUUCAACUGUCAAAGGAAAAUAAUACGCAACGGUUAAACAAAUUGUAAAACAGUUUGAUGGGUGAUUUAAUUGAUAUUUACCUUAUAUGUAGAUAUAAAUUUAAUAUCAUGUUUUUCUUUCAUGUCCUGAUACAGCAUUUGAAGAGCAGUUGUUUGCAUCAGAAUUGAUUUUUGAAAUGUCUGAAGCGAACAUUUUCCGAUGGCAAUUGAAUUAAGCAUCAACUCGCGCAUGUCGUUCAGGGCCUUUAUUUGAUUAUCGUUUCCAUUGUAUGAUUUUUUAUAGUCCUCUUUAGCAUAAGGCGAGUAUGAAUUUGAUACGCUGAACCAUAAAUCAACUUUUUCUAUAAAGUCAGCUAGAUCUUUUGCUUCUUCACUAUGUACAUAUCUUCGCAAAGAUACAGAUACUGUGCGCGAUAAAAGUUGUGCUGCUUUUUUCACAUUUUGUUUCUCCUGGCUAGUCAUCUUGAUGUGUCCUUGAUUUAUUUUGAACACAGGAGUCAUUUCUGCAGCCAUACGACCCUCAACUAUAUGUUUAAGGGGCUCAAUUGUUAUUGUCUUAUCAUGAUACUUGAAUCCGUGAUCUACUAGCCAGUUCCUCGUCAACUUUAACAAAUGAGGCACAUCAGGAACAACAUAUACAUUUUUUUUUGUGAUGGGAUGUGGAAAAAAUGGAUUAUUAUAAUCGACUGCUCCCAAUUCUUUCCAACAGCUAGUAUUUGCAGGACAGUUAUCGCUAACUAUGGCGACCACAUUUAUAUUUUUUUCAUUUAAUUUUUCAAUAAUUUCCAUUAUGAUUUCUUUGGUCAUGCUUUGGUCAAAUCCUAUGUAGAUUGGCUGCUUCCAGUUCUUAAAUAGUCCUCUAGCCAUUACUACUUGAACAUAAUUGAACGGUCCCAUUACUUCAUCUGCUGCCGGGUCAUAUUCUAAUACGCUUUCUACUUUCAUUUCAUCAAAACUUAGAACACAUUCUCGAUCUUUGUUGCUAAAUGUUUUGGCCGCAGUUCCAACUAAAUUCAAAACGUCUUCUAAGAUGCCUUGCUUUAAGUUAAUUUUUCGUCCAUACCUUUGUAAGGUGGAUGGAGCAGCCAUAGGCACCUUCAAAUCUUUUCCUACGUAACAAUAUGCCCGCGAACUAAAAUAUUUCAAGGUAAACGCCUUGCUAAUUUCCUCUUUGGUCCAUCGUACUCGCUUCUUGUGCUUAAUAAUCAAAUCAAUUUGAUUGCUAGUCAGAGUGUCUCCUAACAUUUUCUUCAUUAUUGGAACUACAUCUGAACUUAGGAUGCUUUCUUUCUGAAUGGUUUCCAAUUUUUUUCCAAAUUCACAUUUUGUUUCUUUAAUGCAGUAUUUUCUUGAACAACCGAAUCCAAAUGCUUUUUCAAAUUAUGGUUUGCUGCUUUUAGGUUUUUAGCCUCCUCUAGUUGAGCAGUUAAGGCAGAAAUUUUUGAUUUAAGGAAUUCAAUUUGUUCAUCUUUUUUUUCGCACAUGGCACAUUCUUUCUCACACGACUGAUAUAGCUCAUGUCGGCGUUGCUCUAGAACAACCUCGUUCAAUUGUUCUUGCUCAUCAUUAGUUAUGUUCGAGCAUGAAAUUACAGAUGGAAUUGCUUUAAACCGAAACACAACACAAACGUAUUAUUAAAAUAAUAAAAACAGUAGCAAUAAAUUAUAUA